CGCCGGCCGCGCCAUGGGGGAGGGGCGGGGCGGGCCGCGCGAGACCCGGGAAACAUGGCUGCUCGUCCUAUUUCGGCGUCGCGGCGUGGCCACCAGCCCCCGGAUCCGAGUUGGGAGAGGCUCCGAAGAGGCUCCCGCGCCGGCGGAAUUCAAUCAAUAAACCCCGAACCCACGGCCGCGCGUUUUAGGACUUUGAAGGCUCAACCAGCUCCGCUCGGUUCUCGAGCCCCCAGCACCCGCGGCGCACACUAACCUGAUCACGGUGGAGGCGGGACCUGCGGUUCGGCGGAUGAGCGGCAACAGCUGGAGCCAAUCGCUGCCGAGGGUGUCCGGGCAACAGCCAAUGGUGGCGGCGGCGGGGGGGGAAGGGACCAAUGGGCGGGCUGCGCAGCCGGCCAGGGAGGCUCAGCCAUUUGGUUGUGGUGCCGGAGACGGACCCCUUUAGAUUUCGGGGCGGCUGAAGAUCGCGGCGGCUGCUUGGUGGCUGAGCUAGGGGGGUGGGCAGAAUGGCGGGGGAAGGGAAGGUGACUGCGCCUGGAGGGCCGAGCCGCUCGGCCUCGCCAGCCUGCCGCCGCCUCAGCGUUUGGCCGGGGGCGGGGCCGCAGGUGCGUUACUCGAGGGGGAGGGGCGCGGCCGGAGGGGUCGGGGUCGGGGUCCUCGCCCGGCCGAGGGCUUCGCAGGGCCGUCCUGGGCCUGUCCGCGUCGCUGGACCGGGUUGGCUAAAGAGGCGGGCGGCGCGAGAUCUGGGGGCCCCGGGGCUGCCCGGCGGCCGAGCGGGCGGAUGAAAGGCCUGGAAAGAGGGGGAGGGGUCAAGGGUGCAGUGGGGGGAGGGGCUGGUCACUUUCUGGGUCCGGCGGGCCGAGCUGGUAGAGCGUGGCUGCUGCCUUCCUCUUCCUCCGCGGGUACCCACCCCGGGGCUGCGGCUCACGGCCCGCGCGCCCCUUCGCCUCGUCCUCGUCCAGCCGCGGCCAUCGCCGCCCCUCUAAUAAACAAGUAAAUGAAAGCAAGAUGCGUCCACCUUUGGAUGACUUUCCUCGCGGUCUUGACCCUCUCCACGGAGGGGCAUUUCAGUUUGCUGUCAUAUAAGGUCAGCCUGGAAGGAGCGAUCACCAGGAGGCACCCAGGAUCUUGUUCAGUCAAUAAAUGAAUGAAGACCAUGGA